rnacentral:rRNA from 1 species
UACGAAGGGGGCUAGCGUUGCUCGGAAUCACUGGGCGUAAAGGGUGCGUAGGCGGCCUAUUAAGUCAGGGGUGAAAGACGGUAGCUUAACUAUCGCAGUGCCUUCGAUACUGUAGAGCUUGAGACCGGAAGAGGUAAGUGGAACUGCGAGUGUAGAGGUGAAAUUCGUAGAUAUUCGCAAGAACACCAGUGGCGAAGGCGGCUUACUGGUCCGGUUUCUGGACGCUGAGGCGGCGAAAAGCGUGGGGGAGCAAACAGG